CUUCUUCUUAAUGCCACGUCAUCAUUUGACGGAGAAAUUGGAUGGAAAACUGAGGUUUAGACACGGCUGAUGAAAAUUGUGAGUUGAAGGGUGUUUUUGAUGAAAUUGAAAGAAGAAGGAUUAACAUGAUGAUCGACCUAAAGUUGAUGGGGGUAAACUGAUUAGUCCUUAUUUUUAAAAUCUCCAAGUUUCAUUAAUUUGGAUCAAGUCAUUAUUAACAGUAGACUUUCAUCUUGUUAUCUUGAAAAAAAUGAACCAUGUCACGUCCCAAAACGAGUACAGAGAUUACUAUAAAAGGGUUAGCUAUCAAGCUUAGAAAUCACAUCUACUACUACCACUCACUACAAACAAGCUAGUUGUACGAAGAGCAGAAAUGGGAGCCUUGGGAAAGCCAAGGCCUUCUUCGCUCAUCAUUACCAUGUUUUAUUGUUUGACAUUCUGCUUCUUAGCUACUACUAGUGUUCAUGCUACUAUUCCUCUUUUACCUCCCAUAAUCCUACCUCCUAUUCCCAAGCUACCUCCUAUUCCCAUCCUACCUCCUUACAAGUCAUCACCACCUCCGCCACAGCCCAAGUCUUCACCACCUCCGCCUUCACCACCUCCGCCACAGCCCAAGUCUUCACCACCUCCGCCACCUCCGCCUUCACCACCUCCGCCACAGCCUAAGUCUUCACCACCUCCGCCACCUCCGCCUUCACCACCUCCGCCUUCACCACCUCCGCCUUCACCACCUCCGCCACCUCCGCCUUCACCACAGCCUAAGUCUUCACCACCUCCGCCACCGCCCAACUCAUCACCACCUCCGCCACCCUCACCCUCACCUCUACCUCCUUACAAGUCACCACCACCACCAUCUCCAUCACCAUCUCCAUCACAAUCUCUACCAUCUCUAUCACCACCAUCUCCAUCACCAUCUCUAUCACCAUCUCCAUCACCAUCUCCAAUACCAAAUCCAACAUCAUCUCCAUCACCAUCUCCAUCACCAUCUCCAACACCAUCUCUAACAUCAUCUCCAACACCAUCUCCAACACCAUCUCCAACACCAUCUCCAUCACCAUCUCCAACACCAUCUCCAACACCAUCUCCAACAUCAUCUCCAUCACAAUCUCCAAUACCAAAUCCAACAUCAUCUCCAACACCAUCUCCAUCACCAUCUUCAACACCUUCUCCAUCACCAUCUCUAACACCAUCUCCAACACCAUCUCCAUCAUCAUCUCCAACACCAUCUCCAAUACCAAAUCCAACACCAUCUCCAACACAAUCUCCAACACCAAAUCCAACAUCAUCUCCAUCACAAUCUCCACCGUCUCCAUCACCUCCUCCUCCUUACGUUUACAAGUCUCCACCUCCUCCAUCUCCAUCACCACCACCUCCAUAUGUCUACAAGUCCCCGCCUCCUCUUUCCCCAUCACCUCCUCCACCCUACAUUUAUAAGUCACCACCACCACCCUCACCCUCACCUCCACCUCCAUAUCAUUACAAGUCCCCACCUCCACCUUCCCCGUCACCACCACCUCCAUAUGUCUACAAGUCUCCCCCUCCACCAUCUCCUUCACCUCCUCCUCCCCAUACUCACUCUCCUCCCCCACACUACUACAAAUCCCCUCCACCUCCUCGCCACUACAAGUCCCCUCCACCUCCUCGCCACUACAAGUCCCCUCCACCACCACAUCCUCGCCACUACAAGUCCCCUCCACCUCCACCUCCACCUCCUCGCCACUACAAGUCCCCUCCACCUCCUCGCCACUACUAAGCCUAUUUACGGCUACAGUUACAUAAAACAACUUGAAUUUUCAUAUCUACCAUGUAAUAUCAUAUCUAUUGUAAAGCAUAACUCGGUGUAUUACUUAUUUAAAUAAAUAAAAGCGAAGCAAAUGAUUAAU
rnacentral:lncRNA from 1 species